rnacentral:rRNA from 1 species
CCUACGGGGUGCAGCAGUAGGGAAUAUUGCUCAAUGGGGGAAACCCUGAAGCAGCAACGCCGCGUGGAGGAUGAAGGUUUUCGGAUUGUAAACUCCUUUUGUUAGAGAAGAUAAUGACGGUAUCUAACGAAUAAGCACCGGCUAACUCCGUGCCAGCAGCCGCGGUAUUACGGAGGGGGCAAGCGUUAUUCGGAAUGACUGGGCGUAACGAUCGCGUAGGCGGGAUAGCAAGUCAGAUGGGAAAUCCUAUGGCUUAACCAUAGAAGUGCAUUUGAAACUGGUAUUCUAGAGUAUGGGAGAGGUAGGUGGAAUUCUUGGUGUAGGGGUGAAAUGCGUAGAGAUCAAGAAGAAUACUCAUUGCGAAGGCGGCCUGCUGGAACAUAACUGACGCUGAGGCUCGAAAGCGUGGGGAGCAAACAGGAUUAGAUACCCUAGUAGUC